AUUGAACGCUGGCGGUAGGCUUAACACAUGCAAGUCGAGCGGAGGUGAGGUGCUUGCACCUUAUCUUAGCGGCGGACGGGUGAGUAAUGCUUAGGAAUCUGCCUAUUAGUGGGGGACAACAUUCCGAAAGGAAUGCUAAUACCGCAUACGUCCUACGGGAGAAAGCAGGGGAUCUUCGGACCUUGCGCUAAUAGAUGAGCCUAAGUCGGAUUAGCUAGUUGGUGGGGUAAAGGCCUACCAAGGCGACGAUCUGUAGCGGGUCUGAGAGGAUGAUCCGCCACACUGGGACUGAGACACGGCCCAGACUCCUACGGGAGGCAGCAGUGGGGAAUAUUGGACAAUGGGGGGAACCCUGAUCCAGCCAUGCCGCGUGUGUGAAGAAGGCCUUAUGGUUGUAAAGCACUUUAAGCGAGGAGGAGGCUACUGAGACUAAUACUCUUGGAUAGUGGACGUUACUCGCAGAAUAAGCACCGGCUAACUCUGUGCCAGCAGCCGCCGUAA
rnacentral:rRNA from 1 species